AUGACUUGUGGAUAGCGGAGAAAUUCCAAUCGAACUCGGAGAUAGCUGGUUCUCCUCGAAAUAGCUUUAGGGCUAGCCUUGAGGUAAAGUCUAAUGGAGGUAAAGCACUGAUUGGACGCGGGUCCCCAAAAGGAUACCAACUUCUAUCAAACUCAGAAUGCCAUAUAGAUAUACUCAGGAGUCAGACUAUGUGAGAUAAGUUUCAUAGUCAAAAGGGAAAGAGCCCAGACCGACAGCUAAGGUCCCAAAGUGUGUGUUAAGUGGAAAAGGAUGUUAGGUUUCUAAGACAACUAGGAUGUUGGCUCAGAAGCAGCCACUCAUUUAAAGAGUGCGUAACAGCUCACUAGUCGAGAGGUCUAGCGCCGAAAAUGUCCGGGGCUAAAACACACCACCGAAGCUACGGAAUUACCUAUGGUAAUUGGUAGAGGAGCAUUCUGUAAGGACGAAGCACAAUUGAAAGAGAGUGUGGACGAAACAGAAGAGAGAAUGCCGGAAUGAGUAGCGAGAUAUAUGUGAGAAUCAUAUAGGUCGAAUGUCUAAGGUUUCCUGGGUAAAGCUGAUCUGCUCAGGGUAAGUCGGGACCUAAGGUGAGGGCGAGAGCCGUAAUCGAUGGACAACAGGUAGAAAUUCCUGUACUACGUAUAAUCAGAACUGUGGGGACGCAGGAGGAUAGGAAAACCGGAGAAUGGAAAUAUCCGGCUAAGUACAAAGGUGUGAGUGAUAGGCAAAUCCGUCACUAUAAGCUGAAGUACGAAUGGGAGCGAAGAAAAGUAGCGAAGUUUCUGAAUCCACACUGUCAAGAAAAGCCGCUAUUGCGUUAUACGUACCCGUACCGCAAACCGACACAGGUAGACGAGGAGAAAAUCCACAGACCGACGGGAGAAGUGUUGUUAAGGAACUCGGCAAAAUGACCCCGUAACUUAGGGAUAAGGGGAGCCAACGCAAGUUGGUCACAGAAAAGAGGCUCAAGCGACUGUUUAGCAAAAACAUAGGUCUAUGCGAAACCGUAAGGUGAUGUAUAUGGGCUGACACCUGCCCGGUGCUGGAAGGUCAAAAGGAGAGGUUAGCGUAAGCGAAGCUUUGAAUUCAAGCCCCAGUAAACGGCGGCCGUAACUAUAACGGUCCUAAGGUAGCGAAAUUCCUUGUCAGGUAAGUUCUGACCCGCACGAAAGGUGUAACGAUUUGAGCACUGUCUCGACAACACGCCCGGUGAAAUUGAAGAACCAGUGAAGAUACUGGUUACCCGCAACAGGACGGAAAGACCCCAUGGAGCUUUACUGCAGCUUAAUAUUGGGAUUCGGUAUUGUAUGUACAGGAUAGGAGGGAGACUAAGAAGCUAGCACGCCAGUGUUGGUGGAGUCGAUGGUGGGAUACCUCUCUUAUAAUACUGAAUUUCUAACCUACUUCCGUGAUCCGGAAGAGGGACAUUGUUAGGCGGGCAGUUUGACUGGGGCGGUCGCCUCCGAAAGAGUAACGGAGGCGCUCAAAGGUCUUCUCAGAAUGAUUGGAAACCAUUCAAAGAGUGUAAAGGCAAAAGAAGGCUUGACUGCGAGAGUGACAACUCGAGCAGGUACGAAAGUAGGACUUAGUGAUCCGGUGGUAACAAGUGGGAGUGCCAUCGCUUAACGGAUAAAAGCUACCCUGGGGAUAACAGGCUUAUCUCCCCCAAGAGUUCACAU
rnacentral:rRNA from 1 species